AUGAAAGGUGGUAGCAGAAAGUGAUUUAAGGGAUUACAGAAGGCAAUACUGUACCAAUUCCAGAUGUAGAGCUCCACUCAGAGGAUACAAGGAAGAGAAGUAGCUCAGCAAGCUGCCUGGGGGUGGUGAUGUGGCCAGCAAUGCUGAGGAUUCAAGCAUGAAACAGACAGAAUGUCUGUCUGACCUCAAGUGAGACUGAAUUGUUGAUGCCUAAAUAGGCAUAUUUAUAGGGCAAAACCUGUCCUGAGGCAAAAUUUGGGAUUAAGGGGUAGCUUCCAGGAAAGAAGAAAGAGAAGGGAAGUUGUCAGUGGCUGGACACUCAGUGCAAAUGUCCUUGGACAAAAGGAGUAUCACUCCCAGUGGGAAGUGUAUUUCAAUUUCUCUUCACUUGCAAGCACAAGGUCUAUCACCCACCAUCACUCUUAUCGGUGAAGGAAUUAUGCAGAUUCCGAUCUUGAUUGAUCUAUCCUUGGGUUCCCCAUACUGAGCUUCCCAGAUCUCCUUAUAUGUGUCGCUUUUACAAUUUCCAGUCGUCAAUUCUCUGAUGAUACAGGAAUCCAAUAUGAAAGGGAGGUCCAUGUCAGAUUACCAUAAAUCUGGCAAGACUAAGAGCCCUCCUCCCGACUACCAUCUUGAGGGGGAGAGACGAGGCCUGGCCUGGCAAGACUAAGAGCCCUCCCCCGACCAGCCGCUCUUGGGGG